AAUUUCCUGGAAUGUUCGUCAAUGGGUUAUGUCCCUGAGCCGAUACUCGCAUUAUUUAGAGUUGGUUACCCGCAACUGGUGAGCAAGCUCAGCAGUUCGCUGAACUGAGAAGCCUAAAAGUUGCCUUACCGACUCCCUUGAACCUUUGGGUUCAAGGACUGACACUCAUAACGGCAUUUCCGGGAUCUUC
rnacentral:other from 2 species